UAGAGCUCUAUCGGUUCAAGGUCUGCCGGGACUACAUAGUGAGACCCUAUCUCAGAACAACAGCAAAACCGCUUAGUGGAGGUUCAGGAACCAGGGCCUCUUCUGUCUGCCCUGGGUUGUGGCUGACAAUCAGUUAUUGGCGGCCUGGGUCGCACAGGUGCCUGCAGCACAGUUUGAACUGUUUGCCCCCUGGCGUUUCUCUGUUUUCUUAACUUGUAUGCGCUUUAGCUUUUCCAAUGCAUGAAGCAUGAAGAAUGUGGACCGUGGAUGGAUGUCAGCCUUCUUAACGGUGUCAUCGCUAGAAAGCUGUGGGCCUGUGUCCUCCUCUGGCUCUGUGAUUAAACCCACACUCAGAGUGCCAUGGCCCCUCAGUGUGCCCCCUCAUCUGUUGAGUUCAGAAUUGACCUCCAUGGAGUCAACUCCCGCACACAGUAUGUCAUCAGUAAUGCCUGGAGAAAGGGCUCCAUGAGACACCGGGGCAUGCCGGCCGGGCACAGAGGCACGGAUGUGACAAGACACGCAGGCAGAAAGCCUCCAAAAUGAUGCAAGAGUCACCCCUGCAGGUGUUGGGUGAGUCAUGGCUCUGCCUGCCUGCAGUGUCAAAAUUGCCACUGAGGCCCUUGUCCCAGUGUGGUGGCCUCUGCAACCUUCUGGAAGUGCGUAGGGCUGGCAGGGUUCAUGAGGGUGGCCUCUCGACGGAGUAGUGUCUCUGCCAUGAGAGAAUGCACUGGUGGCCAUCCAGCUCAGCCCUCUUCAUCUCUCCCGCCUGAAGAACUAGGGGGGGAGGGAUGUGGAUUCCUUGUCCUACAGACAUCACCUUUGGAUGUGGCAGCCUGAGUCACCUGAGACACUAGGCAGGUUGGGUGGGUGCAACAGCCCUGCAGGGAAUAUUAUCACACUGUCAAUUACAGAGACAAAUGGCACACCCACACCCCCAGGUGACAAGAGGCGAGACUUCCCAUCCCCUGACCAUCUGUGGAGAGCUUGUGUCCAUAGAAAUCAAUGUAUGACACUUAGAAGUCAUCACAGCCCCAAUAUUUUCCUGUGACGGAGGUCAGAGGAGGUAAAAGCCUAAGAAGGGACUACCAACGAGGGUGACGUCUAUGUCUAUGCUGAGCAGCAUCCGCCCCAUAAAAGUCUUGGGUAAGCUGAAAGCCAGAAACCUCCCCAAUGUGGACUUCCUGUAUGAGGAGGGUUAGAAAUUUUAGAAUCUUAAAUUUUGGGUAUUGUAAUCACAGAACGGUCUAUGAUAUUUUUUUCUAGGGUAAGGUACCAGGGUUUCCUGACUCUCAGGGUCUGCAUGAGGGUGACAGGCAUCCCUCCAGGGCAUCCCAGCUUCUGUGAAGCCAGCACAGGGCCAAGCGCUUCAGCAAGCCUUCCCAUUCACACACGGAUGCAUCUGGCUGACAGAAAGGACAUCUGCUGACUCCAAAAACCCCACCAGACAGGCAGCGCAGCCUCUGUAGCUUGGGCCCCACGCUCACACUGCAGGAGCUAACCUAUCAUCUUUCUUCACAAGUGAGGGUAGAGUGGAGGCAGUGGCCAGGGCUGGCCAGGCCCUAUCAGGUGUCUCUGUGUCUGCCUAUUGAGCAUGAAAGGCUUUCAGAUUCCUCUCAAGUGACUCUCUACCUCUGGGCUGUGAGUCACCCUUCUGUUACCGUCAUCUCCCAAACAGUUGGGGUUGGGACCCCACUCAGGCUGUGGCCAUGAUCCCACCUAUCAAAGCAAAUAUAUAUGAGGUCUGCGGCAGCAAGCCACCUCAGGGGAGAAAGAGGCAAUUGGGAUCCUGGGCCAAGCAAGGGCUGGAGCUGGAGGGAGGGUGGACGGCUCCUCCUCACGCCUGCCUGCCUGCCUGCCUGGGCCGCCCCCACCCAGGAACAGCCCCCUCAGUCCCAGGCCAGAGUGUUCCAAGCCCAGGACUGUGUUGGAUGGAAUUCUCAAAACCCCAGGAGAGCCACACGAAGCAUCUGACUCUCACUCACUUGAAGCUGUGUCGGAAGGCUCAUAACAAGAAUAUGCUAACGUCGCUCCUAGCUUUGUUCCCACUAAGCCACACCCUAGGCUCAGACAAUGAAGGGCAAGAGCAUAGUUUUGAGGUUUUGGAUCCUCAGCACGGACUCUAUAAUGGUGCUGAGUGAUGCUGAGCCUUGGUCCUGAAGACGUCGGGCCCAUCCCGCUAACUGCCCUUCCCCGCAAUGGUCCCCGAACCUUGUAUGGGCGACAGACUAACACCCCCACCCCCUCUCCUGCCCUAACCCUCACCCCUCACCCUACCCAACCCCCACCACCACCACCAGCA